rnacentral:lncRNA from 1 species
GCUCACUGCAACCUCCACCUCCCAGGUUCAAGCAGUUCUCUGCCUCAGCCUUCUGAGUAGCUGGGAUUAUAGGUGCCCACCACCAUGCCUGGCUAAUUUUUGUAUUUUUAGUAGAGACGGAGUUUCAUCAUCUUGGCCAGGCUAGUCUUGAACUCCUGACCUCGUGAUCCACCUGCCUCGGCCUCCCAAAGUGCUGGGAUUACAGGCGUGAGCCACCGAGCCCAGCCCAACAAGAUAUCUUCUUGAGGGAACCUUCUGGAAGCCCUGACUGCCUUGCUGUAAGGUCGGCUGAAUGGAAAGAGACAAAGGCUGUUGGCCCUGAUAACAGAGGACAUGGAGAACACUGACGGGCCAGCACAGAGAGGUGUCAAACCUACAUUGCAGCCUGAAGGAUGUCUUCACUUCCUCCUGCUCCUUCGCCUUGUAUCCUUCAUAGAUUUUUCCCGCAAUAAAACUUUGCA